AUGAACCGCCGCCACCGCGCCGCCUCCAGUUCCGAUCGUCACGACCACGUCCUCCUCUUCACGCACGGGCACAGCGAACUGGCCGAAGACAACAGCACCACCGCGUACACCUUCACGGAAGCAACGAAGACCAUGAAGGUGACCGUCUCGAUCGCCGACCUGCCGUCGAUCUCCUACUUCCACGUCAGCUGCCCCGACCUCCAAGACAGCCCCUUCAGACAGAGGUCGGAGAUCCUCUGGUCGUCGGAGGACCUCGUCCUCUUCACGGUCUUCCUCGCCCAUCCCGCUCCAAUGGAGUACUUCAUCUACAGGGCCGGGCGCGAGCCGUCGCUCGAUCUGCUAUCUGGCGCUGGAGAGUAUUUCAUGAGGGAGAAGGUAGAUCCAUCCCAACUCGCCGUCGUCCCCGACGGCGCCGGCGGGAACUUCGUCCUCGCCGCCUUCGACUGGGACUGGCUGUCGGCGCGGUGCUACCUCCACGUCUUCAGGUCCAAGCGCCGUUCCUGGGCCAAGGAGCACCUCGCCCCAGAUUUUCCAUCCUGGAUGUUCACCAACCGUCCGGGGUUUUGCCCCCAGAAUGUGAUCGUGGUACGCGGAGGAGCGCUGGGCUACGUCGACCUCUGGAAGGGGAUCCUGCUCUGCAACGUACUCGAGGAGCCGGUGACGACGCGCUUCAUCCCGUUGCCCAACCCGCUGCCCGGCAACCGGAGAGGCUACAACAAUGGGAUGUCGGAACGGGCGUCGUGGGUACGGUUGAUACGCGACGUCGCCUGCACAGACGGCCUGACGAUCACAUGCGUCGAGAUGGAAGACCUAUACCGUUUCGUAGCGAGAACACCUGACGGCGAUGUGCUCCAUGACUCCGACAUUGAUCCGUCCGAGGAGGCGGGGGAACGCAGAUGGGUUGGCUGGAGGCUCGUGGCAUGGCAUAGGGAGGUCUCCUGGGACUACUGGCGCAAGGGGUGUGUGCUCCAUGUCGAUGAACUUGGAACCGUCUCCUUGCCCCGUCAUCCUGCUAGAACCGAGCCAUUGCCACCCAACGGCCGGAAGCCGUCAUCAUCAUCAUCUCGACCUACAAAAUUGCCUCUAAGCCACGUGCUGGUAUUCUGUCCCAUCCUGUGUGGUGAGGGUGUCGUUUGCUUCCUCUCCAAGAGGGACAGCUACCGCGAUCAUCGUGCAUGGAUCAUCACUGUUGACAUGAGGAAGAAAGCUGUGAGAGGAUUGACGCCGUACUAUGACGAGACACCCAUGACUUUCAAUCUAACCUACUUAUCCUGCGCGCUGAAGAAAUAUCUCAAGAGUGAAUCAGAUGGAGGUCGUUCUCUUGUUGUGGAAGAUACUCGUCCUCAUGGCAAACGCCAUCGGUUGUCCCUGGAAAACACUAGUAGUCACAGUUCCCAGCCAAAGAGGACUUUGAGAGGCUCGACAAUGGAACAGAGAAAACGAUAUGGUUGA
rnacentral:rRNA from 1 species